GCCAUCAUGGUGCAGUGGUUUGAGUGCUGGACUAUGACUCUGGAGACCAGGGUUCAAUUCCCCAUUCAGCCA
rnacentral:tRNA from 1 species